rnacentral:rRNA from 1 species
AACUCAAAUGAAUUGACGGGGGCCCGCACAAGCGGUGGAGCAUGUGGUUUUAAUUCGAUGCAACGCGAAGAACCUUACCUACUCUUGACAUCCAGAGAACUUAGCAGAGAUGCUUUGGUGCCUUCGGGAACUCUGAGACAGGUGCUGCAUGGCUGUCGUCAGCUCGUGUUGUGAAAUGUUGGGUUAAGUCCCGCAACGAGCGCAACCCUUAUCCUUUGUUGUGAAUGUGGNUAAAGUCCCGCGACGAGCGCAACCCUUAUCCUUUGUCCAGCGAUUCGGUCGGGAACUCAAAGGAGACUGCCAGUGAUAAACUGGAGGCAGCGAUUCGGUCGGGAACUGAAGGUGGGGAUGACGUCAAGUCAUCAUGGCCCUUACGAGUAGGGCUACACACGUGCUACAAUGGCAUAUACAAAGAGAAGCGACCUCGCGAGAGCAAGCGGACCUCAUAAAGUAUGUCGUAGUCCGGAUUGGAGUCUGCAACUCGACUCCAUGAAGUCG